rnacentral:rRNA from 1 species
UACGUAGGUGGCAAGCGUUAUCCGGAAUUAUUGGGCGUAAAGCGCGCGCAGGCGGUCCUUUAAGUCUGAUGUGAAAGCCCACGGCUCAACCGUGGAGGGUCAUUGGAAACUGGGGGACUUGAGUGCAGAAGAGGAGAGCGGAAUUCCACGUGUAGCGGUGAAAUGCGUAGAGAUCCGGAGGAACACCAGUGGCGAAGGCGGCCUUCUGGGUCCGCCCUGACGCUGAGGCGCGAAAGCGUGGGGAGCGAACGGG